rnacentral:rRNA from 1 species
UGAGGGAUAUUGGGCAAUGGGGGCAACCCUGACCCAGCGACGCCGCGUGAGGGAAGACGGUCUUCGGAUUGUAAACCUCUGUCUUUGGGGACGAAAAAGGACGGUACCCAAGGAGGAAGCUCCGGCUAACUACGUGCCAGCAGCCGCGGUAAUACGUAGGGAGCGAGCGUUGUCCGGAAUUACUGGGUGUAAAGGGAGCGUAGGCGGGAAGGCAAGUUGGAUGUGAAAACUGUGGGCUCAACCUACAGACUGCAUUCAAAACUGUUUUUCUUGAGUGAAGUAGAGGCAAGCGGAAUUCCUAGUGUAGCGGUGAAAUGCGUAGAUAUUAGGAGGAACACCAGUGGCGAAGGCGGCUUGCUGGGCUUUUACUGACGCUGAGGCUCGAAAGUGUGGGGAGCAAACA